rnacentral:rRNA from 1 species
AUGGGUGCUACCGUCUUCGACCCCGCACGACCGCCAGUAUCCUUUCCUCCGACGCCACUCUGGGAAUUGGGAUGCGGGCCAACCGCCGAUCCGUUACCGGCCACCAUAUCAUCAAGGAAAUCAUGGCCGAAUCGACCUGUGUGCGGCGUUGCUCUAACAUGCCCGCCACUUCACCUCUCCUCCAAUGUCUCGCUUGAGUGUGGGAGCGCGCCGGGCUGCCGUUUAGUUGCCGAACCCCGAAAUCACAGAUCCUCGGUCAAGGCAGAACCGCUAAGGAUCUACCCGCCGUUGCUUUGCACAGCAGCGAGGGCCUCGCCCAGAGCCAGUUUCGUGGGCUGCCCGGUGGAAUCAUGCUUGUGCUUCCGACGAAUUUGA